AAGUCAUCUGUUGCUUUUCUGUGCUGCAAGACCAGUGCUGAAUCAUUUCAACAACUGUACUAUAUGUUUCAAAAAUAUGUAGAAAAAUUACAAUUCUUCAAACAGAAGAAGCAGAGUUCUGGUUCCAUGAUGGAGUGCUGGAAAAAGAAGACAAAGCAAGGAAAUACCAGAUCCAGUCUCCUUUCUCCUUCCUACCAUGCCAGAGCCGUGCCACAGUAGCAGUUUGGGUUGCUCCAAACCAGCUGGCAAAGAAAAGCAUCCAUAUGACGGCCGUGCGGGAUGGCAAGGGGGUGGUGGGGGCUGGCGAGGACCACACUCUCCGGGGUAGCUGCUUUUGGGCAAGCUGCAAUCUGGCCCUCAGCGUGCACCUGCCCGCAGCGAGGGUCUGACAGCAUCGCUGCCAGGGGGGAGCCCGCAGGAGGGCAGAAGGCACUGGGGGCCACGUCCUCAGCUGCUGCUCCUCUCCAGCGGGACAAUGAAAGCCAGUCCUGCUUUCAUCAGGUGAGGAACAGAGCCUGAAGGCUAACUCAGUGAAUUUUUCCCUAAUCCAGUUUAUCAGAGGGUGAAAUUAGCCUCUCCCCCUAGACAAACGUGCUGCCAAGGCUGAGCACUUGCUUCUCUGGAGCACAAGCCCCUCUGGACCUUUUCCCUCCACUCCCUGGGCUGCUCAGUGCGCUGCACCCUGCAGCUUUGUGCUCCUCAGCUGUGUUUUCCUCCUCCAAACCCCUGAAGAAAGGGGUCAUGCUGUCUGCCAAUCUCUCUCCAGAAGAUGCUGCACACUGUCUCCCUGGGGCUGGGUUUUGUCCAGGUGCCAUAGCCCAAACGACAGCUUGUAGGGCCACUGGGGUAAAAUGCUGCCCAUCCAGCCUAUCGAGGGACCCUGUUUUACACAUUUGGUCCUGCAUGGGGUAUAAAUGCUCAUCGAAAUGACAAAAGAGGUGCUAUCCUAUUGCCUUACGCAGAUGGGAAACCUACUUCAUUGCCCAUACUUCUUUUGAGCGAUUCACCUAGUUCAUCCGCAUAAAAAUGUAUGUCCCAUGAACCUUAGGUCUCCUGUGGGCAGCUCACUGGGGACACUUCACAAAUCUGUCUGGUGGAGACUUACUGGAUACAUCUGGCUUGCUCCUGUUUCUAAAACUGAGCAAAGGUUUUCUUGAUUUGUGACUGUUCCCUCUAUUUGCAUGGCACAGGGUUGGUUACCCAAGAAGCGAUGCCUGCCGUGCUCUAAAAUGGGGAAGAUUAUCUGUGUGCAGCUUGAAAAUGAAGCUGUGUCACAGCACCUGUUCAAUCCCAUUACAAACAAAGCCAGGAUGGCAGGGGUAGAGACAGAGCAGCGCGUACAAGAUGCAGCUUUAUUUUAAGUGACAUUUAAAACCUACUACUAGAAAUAAAUGCUUUCUUCACAAUGCUGUAACAAGGAAGGGAGAACACAUUUUCUAAGCAAAUUGCAGAAGUUCAGGAAAUUCUUGGCUCACUAUUUGUUCCAAGUGAUACAAAAGAGAAGGAAGAGACUCUAUCCAGCAUAAAUCAUAUUUUUAAGAAUUUCCCAAUAUUGCUUCCUGUCUUUGUGCUUGGGCAGCAGAUUGUAUACAGAAAUAAAACAAAUUUGCUUUAUCUUUUCAGAA